rnacentral:rRNA from 1 species
UACGUAGGGUGCAAGCGUUGUCCGGAAUUAUUGGGCGUAAAGAGCUCGUAGGCGGUUUGUUGCGUCGGCUGUGAAAUCCCGAGGCUCAACCUCGGGUCUGCAGUCGAUACGAGCAAACUAGAGUGUUGCAGGGGAGACUGGAAUUCCUGGUGUAGCGGUGAAAUGCGUAGAUAUGUGGAGGAAUACCGAUGGCGAAGGCAGCCUCCUGGGCCAACACUGACGCUCAUGCACGAAAGCGUGGGGAGCAAACAGG